GGCCCCGUCGUCUAGUCUGGCUUAGGACACUGGCCUUUCACGCCUGUAACACGGGUUCAAAUCCCGUCGGGGUCA
rnacentral:tRNA from 1 species